rnacentral:snoRNA from 1 species
GUGAUGAGGGCUGGGUUGUUGAUAGAUGAUAAGUUAGGAGCCAGCUGA